UCAGAUUAUCAGGGGUAUUAUUGACGUGAUGAGAUAACACUUUACUAGCUCUACUAGCUUAUUUAAUGCUCGUUAAAUUAUGAUAUGUCGCGACAAUAAUCAUUUUUACUUUAUUAUUAUUUAUUACCUAUUGUUUCUUAUUGAUUUUUCAGAGUUGACGUAUAUAAAUUCCAACAUAUUACUUGGAUCUUAUCGAAUAUGAGUAUCUAAGUUUUUUUUAUAAACCCCAAGAACUGUUUGCCCACGAAAUAAAUAUAUACAAUUUAUUGGAGUAUCAUUUUUUGGAGAGGCCAACUACAAUAAUAAAAUACAUUAACUAACGAAAUCUUUCAAAAGAGGAUCAAUAACGCAUCCCACGUUGUUUAAUUUAACAACAUAGAGAAAGGGAGAAGUUUAAUCUUAACUCAUAAACAGGCACCAUGAUAUAGAAUCAUAGAUACUGAUCAAUCUACAAAACACGUCAAAAGCAUAUACAAACGAAAUUUACGAGGGUAAAUAAAGAGGGGAAUAAUUAAAUAGAUAAAAAGGUGGAAUGAGGGAAACAUAGUUUUAUAAGUCAAUCGACCUCCCGACCUAUGUCACAAAGCUGGUUUUAUUGGCAGUUCGAAGAGCACAGUAAAAGAGAUCGAGAGAUCUGGUGAGUAAAA